rnacentral:rRNA from 1 species
UACGGAGGGGGCUAGCGUUGUUCGGAAUUACUGGGCGUAAAGCGUACGCAGGCGGCUUUGUAAGUUAGAGGUGAAAGCCCGGGGCUCAACUCCGGAAUUGCCUUUAAGACUGCAUCGCUUGAAUCAUGGAGAGGUCAGUGGAAUUCCGAGUGUAGAGGUGAAAUUCGUAGAUAUUCGGAAGAACACCAGUGGCGAAGGCGACUGACUGGACAUGUAUUGACGCUGAGGUGCGAAAGCGUGGGGAGCAAACAGG